AGCUGCGGCAGCGACACUAUGUGUUGUUGGGUAGGGGAGCGUUCUGUAAGCCUGCGAAGGUGACCUGUGAGGGUUGCUGGAGGUAUCAGAAGUGCGAAUGCUGACAUAAGUAACGAUAAAGCGGGUGAAAAGCCCGCUCGCCGGAAGACCAAGGGUUCCUGUCCAACGUUAAUCGGGGCAGGGUGAGUCGACCCCUAAGGCGAGGCCGAAAGGCGUAGUCGAUGGGAAACAGGUUAAUAUUCCUGUACUUGGUGUUACUGCGAAGGGGGGACGGAGAAGGCUAUGUUAGCCGGGCGACGGUUGUCCCGGUUUAAGCAUGUAGGCUGAUUGUCCAGGCAAAUCCGGAUAAUCAAGGCUGAGGUGUGAUGACGAGGCACUACGGUGCUGAAGUAACAAAUGCCCUGCUUCCAGGAAAAGCCUCUAAGCAUCAGGUAACAUCAAAUCGUACCCCAAACCGACACAGGUGGUCAGGUAGAGAAUACCAAGGCGCUUGAGAGAACUCGGGUGAAGGAACUAGGCAAAAUGGUGCCGUAACUUCGGGAGAAGGCACGCUGGUGUGUAGGUGAAGUCCCUGCGGAUGGAGCUGAGACCAGUCGAAGAUACCAGCUGGCUGCAACUGUUUAUUAAAAACACAGCACUGUGCAAACACGAAAGUGGACGUAUACGGUGUGACGCCUGCCCGGUGCCGGAAGGUUAAUUGAUGGGGUUAUCCGUAAGGAGAAGCUCUUGAUCGAAGCCCCGGUAAACGGCGGCCGUAACUAUAACGGUCCUAAGGUAGCGAAAUUCCUUGUCGGGUAAGUUCCGACCUGCACGAAUGGCGUAAUGAUGGCCAGGCUGUCUCCACCCGAGACUCAGUGAAAUUGAACUCGCUGUGAAGAUGCAGUGUACCCGCGGCAAGACGGAAAGACCCCGUGAACCUUUACUAUAGCUUGACACUGAACAUUGAGCCUUGAUGUGUAGGAUAGGUGGGAGGCUUUGAAGCGUGGACGCCAGUCUGCGUGGAGCCAACCUUGAAAUACCACCCUUUAAUGUUUGAUGUUCUAACGUUGGCCCCUUACCGGGGUUGCGGACAGUGUCUGGUGGGUAGUUUGACUGGGGCGGUCUCCUCCCAAAGCGUAACGGAGGAGCACGAAGGUUAGCUAAUCCUGGUCGGACAUCAGGAGGUUAGUGCAAUGGCAUAAGCUAGCUUGACUGCGAGCGUGACGGCGCGAGCAGGUGCGAAAGCAGGUCAUAGUGAUCCGGUGGUUCUGAAUGGAAGGGCCAUCGCUCAACGGAUAAAAGGUACUCCGGGGAUAACAGGCUGAUACCGCCCAAGAGUUCAUAUCGACGGCGGUGUUUGGCACCUCGAUGUCGGCUCAUCACAUCCUGGGGCUGAAGUAGGUCCCAAGGGUAUGGCUGUUCGCCAUUUAAAGUGGUACGCGAGCUGGGUUUAGAACGUCGUGAGACAGUUCGGUCCCUAUCUGCCGUGGGCGCUGGAGAAUUGAGGGGGGCUGCUCCUAGUACGAGAGGACCGGAGUGGACGCAUCACUGGUGUUCGGGUUGUCAUGCCAAUGGCACUGCCCGGUAGCUAAAUGCGGAAGAGAUAAGUGCUGAAAGCAUCUAAGCACGAAACUUGCCCCGAGAUGAGUUCU
rnacentral:rRNA from 1 species